rnacentral:lncRNA from 1 species
CUCUCUUAUCCAAUAAGACUGGCGCCCCGAGAGCAAAGCUCGACCAGGGACCUUACCUCCAGUCUGGUCACUUAAGUAUCCAAAUAAGAAAUCUAAUAGCCAUUCGACUCUCUUAAUCCAAUAAGACUGGCGCCCCGAGAGCAAAGCUCGACCAGGGACCUUACCUCCAGUCUGGUCACUUAAAUAUCCAAAUAAGAAAUCUAGUAGCCAUUCGACUCUCUUAAUCCAAUAAGACUGGCGCCCCGAGAGCAAUGCUCGACCAGGGACCUUACCUCCAGUCUGGUCACUUAAAUUUCCAAAUAAGCCGGCGCCCCGAGAGCAAUGCUCGACCAGGGACCUUUACUCCGGCAACCACACUCUACUAAGCCCAGAGAGCGAUGCUCGACCAGGGCAGGUCCUAAUCUUUCUUUCUCAAAUUUUUUACCUCUUUACCCUUUUCUUAUCUCUCUCAUAUUAUAUUGGACACUCAUCCAACUCCUAUGUUCUACUGCCGUCCCAUCCUGAGUCAUCAUGCAAUAUUAAAAUUGGUAAUAAAGGAAAAACAUAUUUAAAUAGUAAUUAAAAGCAUCAUUCAAACGAUAAUAAUAAUAAUUGAAUGAAAAAUUGAAAUUGCAAAUAAAUAUUCACAGUAGCAAAUCAAAUUUUAUGCAUGACACGUGCGUAAACGAUAUAUGAUUUUAACUCACUCUCGAGACUGACAGUCUCCAUUUAUUGUUUUUCAGAUUCGUGACUGUUAGUUCUCUCGCGACUCUUAUUCAGUAACCCGACUCCUUCAUCAUCGGGUGAAGUAUUUGAUUUGGUAUGUAAAAUGGUAAAUCUUAGAUUCUCCGCAGUAGUAAUAGUAAAUGUAUCAGUUGUAAAUUUUUCUGAGCUUCGGGUCUCGCCUAGUUUUUCUGGCAGACCGAAGUAUUUAUGUAGAAUGUGGC